CAAAAUGUAGCUUAAACAAAGCAACCCGCUUACACCGAGUCAAUGUCUGUUAAAUUCAGACCAUUUUGA
rnacentral:tRNA from 1 species